UACAGAGGGGGCAAGCGUUGUUCGGAAUUACUGGGCGUAAAGGGCGCGUAGGCGGCCUGCUAAGUCGAACGUGAAAUCCCUGGGCUCAACCCAGGAACUGCGUCCGAUACUGGUUGGCUUGAAUCCGGGAGAGGGAUGUGGAAUUCCAGGUGUAGCGGUGAAAUGCGUAGAUAUCAGGAGGAACACCAACGGCGAAGGCAGCCGGCUGGACGAGAUCCGACGCUCAGGCUCGAAAGUAUGGGGAGCAAAAAGG
rnacentral:rRNA from 1 species